UACGUAGGGUGCAAGCGUUGUCCGGAAUUAUUGGGCGUAAAGAGCUCGUAGGCGGUUUGUCGCGUCGGCUGUGAAAACUCGGGGCUCAACCCCGAGCCUGCAGUCGAUACGGGCAGACUAGAGUGCGGUAGGGGAGACUGGAAUUCCUGGUGUAGCGGUGAAAUGCGCAGAUAUCAGGAGGAACACCGGUGGCGAAGGCGGGUCUCUGGACAGUUCCUGACGCUGAGGCACGAAGGCCAGGGGAGCAAACGGG
rnacentral:rRNA from 1 species